rnacentral:misc_RNA from 1 species
GCAGCUCAAGAAUUUGCUAAAAGGAAUCAGUUGUCACCAAGGAUACAAGAUCAGGUUUUGUCUCAUAUAUGUCUUAAGUUCAAAACUGAAUCAUUGCAACAAAAAGAGACCAUGAAUGUUCUGCCAAAAGCUAUAAGAUCAAGCAUUGCACAUUACCUGUUUUUACCAGUAGUUCAAAAUGUCAGUCUGUUCCGAGGCGUUUCCAGGGACCUGCUUUUCCAACUGGUUCCUGAAAUGGAAGCUGAA